rnacentral:rRNA from 1 species
UACGUAGGGUGCGAGCGUUGUCCGGAAUUACUGGGCGUAAAGAGCUCGUAGGUGGGUUUUGUCGCGUUUGUCCGUGAAAAACUCACAGCUUAACUGUGGGCGUGCGGGGCGAUACGGGGCAGACUGGAGUACUGCAGGGGGAGACUGGAAAUUCCUGGUGGUAGCGGUGGGAAAUGCGCAGAUAUCAGGAGGGAACACCGGUGGCGAAGGCGGUCUCCUGGGCAAGGUGAACUGACGCUGGAGGGAGCGAAAGCCGUGGGAGCGAAACAGGGA